rnacentral:lncRNA from 1 species
CUUGCAAUGAAUUAGACAUACCAAUCUGCAUGCUUUUCAGCUAUUGGUUUUACCUCCUGCUCUUGACUGUGUGCGGUGGUCAUAUUUUUCCUAGGUCUAAUUCUCUGCAUGCGGCGGUAUCUUGAGAAUCCCAAGAUAGAUUACAAAUGGUACAUGCUUAUCAUUACAAGCCCUCAUUGCACAUAGAAGAUUUAACAUAGUAGAAUCCUAGCAAUUGGCCAAACAAUCCUAGCAUGUUGCAGACCUAGAAUUCUUCAGUGGGAAGACUCACGAAGAAGAUGUGACAAACAUGGUGUAAUUGGUUGAAGUGUAUUGUAGCAUGUUCCUCGGACUGUUCCUGUUACCUCUGAUGACUAUAUGCAGAUGAAGAGAUCAUUGUUGAUGAAUUAAGCAUACUAGGGCAGAUCCAUGUCGCUCACUGUAAAAUCCUAAAAAGAGUAGCUUGCAAAGUGCAAAUGCAGUAGGAU